AUGAACGCUAGCGACAGGCCUAACACAUGCAAGUCGAGGGGCAGCACAAGGAGCAAUCUGAGGUGGCGACCGGCGCACGGGUGAGUAACACGUAUGCAACCUGCCUGUAAGCGGGGAAUAACCCGUUGAAAGACGGACUAAUACCGCAUAAUACUAAAUUACUGCAUGGUAAUUUAUUUUAAACAUUUAUGGCUUACAGAUGGGCAUGCGCAUGAUUAGCUAGUUGGAGAGGUAACGGCUCCCCAAGGCAACGAUCAUUAGGGGUUCUGAGAGGAAGGUCCCCCACACUGGUACUGAGACACGGACCAGACUCCUACGGGAGGCAGCAGUGAGGAAUAUUGGUCAAUGGACGAGAGUCUGAACCAGCCAAGUCGCGUGCAGGAAGAAUGUCCCUAUGGAUUGUAAACUGCUUUUGCAGGGGAAUAAAGUGCAUCACGUGUGAUGUUUUGUAUGUACUCUGCGAAUAAGGAUCGGCUAACUCCGUGCCAGCAGCCGC
rnacentral:rRNA from 1 species